AAGAAGAUAAAAUGAUGCAGCUUGACGGAAUCAUGGAUGCUGCAUCAGAAUCCCCAGGUUUCAAUAUCCACGUCUCUGAAGAAUCUUGCGAUUCAUGAGGAAGUAUGGACAGUUAUUAGAAAAUAAAUAAUAUAACGUAAAUACAUUGGCA